rnacentral:rRNA from 1 species
GCAGUCGACUCGAGUCUUCGGACUUGGGUGGCGCACGGGUGAGUAACGCGUAAAGAACUUGCCUCUUAGACCGGGACAACAUCUGGAAACGGAUGCUAAUACCGGAUAUUAUGGUUUUUUCGCAUGGAGGAAUCAUGAAAGCUAGAUGCGCUAAGAGAGAGCUUUGCGUCCCAUUAGCUAGUUGGUGAGGUAACGGCCCACCAAGGCAAUGAUGGGUAGCCGGCCUGAGAGGGUGAACGGCCACAAGGGGACUGAGACACGGCCCUUACUCCUACGGGAGGCAGCAGUGGGGAAUAUUGGACAAUGGACCACAAGUCUGAUCCAGCAAUUCUGUGUGCACGAUGACGUUUUUCGGAAUGUAAAGUGCUUUCAGUCGGGAAGAAGUCAGUGACGGUACCGACAGAAGAAGCGACGGCUAAAUACGUGCCAGCAGCCGCGGUAAUACGUAUGUCGCAAGCGUUAUCCGGAUUUAUUGGGCGUAAAGCGCGUCUAGGCGGCAAGGAAAGUCUGAUGUGAAAAUGCGGAGCUCAACUCCGUAUGGCGUUGGAAACUGCCUUACUAGAGUACUGGAAAGGUAUGGCGGAA